AUUGAACGCUGGCGGCAUGCCCUACACAUGCAAGUCGAACGGCAGCACGGGUGCUUGCACCUGGUGGCGAGUGGCGAACGGGUGAGUAAUAUAUCGGAACAUACCCUAGAGUGGGGGAUAACGUAGCGAAAGUUACGCUAAUACCGCAUACGAACUAAGGUUGAAAGGGGGGGAUCGCAAGACCUCAUGCUCAUGGAGUGGCCGAUCUCUGAUUAGCUAGUUGGUGAGGUAAAGGAUCACCAAGGCGACGAUCAGUAGCUGGUUUGAGAGAACGACCAGCCACACGGGAACUGAGACACGGUCCAGACUCCUACGGGAGGCAGCAGUGGUGAAUUUUGGACAAUGGGGGCAAGUCUGAUCCAGCCAUUCCACGUGCAGGAUGAAGGCCCUCGGGUUGUAAACUGCUUUUGUACGAAACGAAAAGGUCUCUCUUAAUACGGGGGGCUCAUGACGGUACCGUAAGAAUAAGCACCGGCUAACUACGUGCCAGCCGCCGCAGUAA
rnacentral:rRNA from 1 species